GUCCCCCUUCCACUGCCCCCAGCCCUCCCCACCGCCAGCCCCUUAGACAGAGCUGGCAGGAGGCACCCGUCCUCCACUCUGCUGUCUUUAUUUUUUUCUCCAUAGUAUCUGAAGACUCCUGCAAAUGGCAAGGUGUUCAGAGUAUACCAGUAUUUCUUAGUAAAGGCAAGAAAAUGAGUUUCUCCAGCUCAAACUCCAGAAUACUUGCAUUCUUCAGUUAGAUCUUGCUUAAAAUAGAUGAAGUUGGGGAAUAAUUGUUUCCACUAAGGUGACACCUCUUUAAGGCAUCCCAAUGGAACAGUCCCACCAAGAAUGGAACCUUUACUGACGUGACAUGAUAAACCAUUUACACUUUCCUUUAUGACUCAGUGUGAUGAGAACUCAAAAAACGCUUAAUAAAUACUUAGCUGAAAUAAAUUUAAGGAUCAGACUUACCCUAAUUCUGCCUCUCAAUGUAUAAAACGAGUACGACAAGGAUUUUGGCAGGUCUUCCCACAGGCGGGGCUACGCACCAAGCGCUGUGGGCAACACGCACAUCAAGACGGCUGCAGCGGCUGGACAGACAAGCUGACCAAGGGAGGGACGUGGACGAAAUAAUGGAAAGGAAGGAACAGGAUGGCAGAGAGGUUCCAGAAGGGGACAGAGUCAUAAAAAGGAUGGGCCUAAGGCAUCACCCCUGUGUGAAAGAUUUUAUUUUGAGACAGGCCUGUACAGCACGACAAAGCCAGGUGGCAGAAGAGCUCCCUUCUACCCUGCUCACUCUUCCAGGCCGCAGGGAGAGAACCAUCCAGAAGGCCUGGCACUGGGCAGAGGGAAGAGGCCUUGUGAAUUUAUGGCUGAGUUUCAGGGGCAAUAAGGAGCUGUCAUGAGAGCUGGGCUUUCAAGAUUAAUCCUGGGACAGGGAGAUACUAAACCGAGGGGGAUGGAUGGCAAAGAGUCUGGACCUCGAUGGUCAGAGGAAGAGGAAACAGAAAGGAAAACUCGGAGGCAGGAAGGAGACUAUUUAACAUGUGGAAACAAGUGGCGAUGGGAGGCUGGGGCAACAGUCAAAGACGAUGCCGACCCCUGGGAAGCUCGGUGACGGGGACAGGAGCAGGACAGGCGCUGGUACCAGCAGAAAAGAGAGCAGCACAUGAGCGCAGAGGCUGAGCAACCGCCCCUGGGGAGUGCAGCCUCCUCACCCAGGGCACCAAAAGGGUCCACGGAGUGUCCCGAGCCCUAACUGCGCCAGGCACCCUGCUUAGGGAAGAGCUGCGACUCCCUGGUGAGCGCUGUUUGCAUUUUAAUGCUCUUACAUUUCCCCCCGUACAGACAGUCAUCUCUUACUUCAGGAGCUCAAAACAUUUCAGAUCAUCCGUUCCUUAAUCCUUACAAGACAUCUGGUAACUAUUAAUAAAAAUGACUGCAGAAUAUUUUGCAGCUAUAAAUAUUAAGGAGAAGUCCCAGGAGGGAAGUGAAUAUAAUUAUCUACCUUUCACACUACAGAAACCAAGGCUCAGACAGCCUCUACUUAGAGCUUAAACGUGUUCACGCUGCUGCGUGAGUUAGUGGCAGAAAUAGAGGACAAAGUCCUCAAGUGCCAGCUGACCCUCGGUCACACUGCCUGCCCAGCGCUGCUGAAACUGACUUAAUGAGCAGCGUACAGGCCAAUGGGACACUUAAGAAAUAGUUCAAGGAAAAGAUGCUCUGCUUUGGAUAAGACUGCAGCCCCACUUGGCUAGUGUUCCUCCAACACCAGAAGCUCCUCAUCCUUCAGACAGGCCAGUCCACAGAACUGCUGCAGACAGAACAUUCCUGCUUCACCGGCCAGCGGUGGAACAGCAGCCAUUCCCUCACCUGCCGUGUGGACACUGGUGUAACCUACUGACCUGGACACAGGGAGAUGCCCACAGUGACUAGAGUCUGGCCAAAGGUUCUCUGGUGACCUUUCAGGGCUUGUGGUGCCAAGAACUCAAAAGAAGGUGGAAUCAUCGCCCACAGCUGAACCGGGAGUGGCAAGGCUGAACCUUCUGCUUUUUCUGACAACUAUUUGCAAACAUCCCCCUCACGUCACACCAUCUCACGUGACAGCAUCCACCACGGCCGUCCCUGGGGCUGCGAUACCAGCACAGAGAGGGCUGCACACAGCUGACGGCACCGGCAUCCACCCGGCCCCUCAAACCACAGGCACAGACUGCGACGUGUGAUAUCCAGGUC